ACGAACGCUGGCGGCAGGCCUAACACAUGCAAGUCGAACGCCCCGCAAGGGGGAGUGGCAGACGGGUGAGUAACGCGUGGGAACAUACCCUUCGGUUUGGAAUAACUCAGGGAAACUUGAGCUAACACCAGAUACGCCCCCGCGCAAUCGGGGGGAAAGAUUUAUCGCCGAAGGAUUGGCCCGCGUCCGAUUAGCUAGUUGGUGAGGUAAUGGCUCACCAAGGCGACGAUCGGUAGCUGGUCUGAGAGGAUGAUCAGCCAC
rnacentral:rRNA from 1 species